GAGUAUUUUGCCAGUGGAAAGGAUUUUUCUCCUGCUGAAGAAGUUCUGCAGUUUCCAUGAAUCCAUCACAACGAAACAAGAACUCCAGAAACGGCAGCAGCAGAAAACCCCGCAGAGAAACGCCGAGAUGCGAUUCUGGUUCAUUUCUGACCAGCUGGUCUGGAGGAAGUCGGACCAGAGAGACGACAGGUUCAGCUUCACUGUAACCGGGAUCAACAGCCGCAGAUCAAACGUCACUAGAGACUCCGGGUCGGAAAAAAGGAGGAAAUUUCCAUCAAAAAAUACAAGAUUAUUCUGAGAAAA